rnacentral:lncRNA from 1 species
GGGGAAGCAUCAGAGGGGCUCUUUCCUACUGGAAACGCACAGGAAAUGACAUCGCCAAAGCAGCUACAGAGAAGGUGCUAGUUCAAAAUUCUACUUCAUGUCCCUGAAAGAGGUGGUGGGUUUUCCCACCAGUUUUAUAUAAAUGACAGUUUGUUCAUGAAAGCAGCCCAUGUGGAAUGUGGUGGCAUGGUCAUGUCUUAAGUCUUGGGGUUUGGCAGUGUCUGGUCAUGUGUUCACAUUCAGGGUUAGGAGAGAUACUAAGGCUGUGGGCUGCCAUCGUGUCACAGUGAUUCCUGCCUCAGGAACACUGAGAAGAUGGCUCUCUCUCUUCUCCUUAGAGGUAGGAAGUAUUGUCAACUCCAGAAGAGCUGGGGUACAGUUUAUACUACACUAGAUUCAAUGAGAUUGGUCAAUACAACAUUUUGGUUUUUGUAUCUAUGAAAUGUUUUUUUUUUUUCUUUUUUUUUUUUCAAAAAAAGCAACCAGGUUAAAAGUUACUGUGUCACUUAUGAAGACAGAGAUGCUGUUCCUGCUGUAAACUUAAGGCCUGUUGUUGAGCAUGUCUUCACACCACCCUCUGCUUCUGGCCUCCAUAUAGACAGAUGCACUGCACUGCUGCAUGGUGCAUUCCAUCUCAAUCAGCUGGCGGCAUCCAAUGGUUAAUCUUUCCCUAGGGGAAAAGAAGUAAAUCACAAAACAGUCAAGAAUCCCAGAGGCAGCGGCAGGCAGGUAUCUAUCUGUGCGGUCUAGGCAACCUGGUCUAUGUAGGGAGUUCCAGUCUAGACAAGGCUAUACACCCUGUCUCAACAAUUCCUUAUUUUUAAGUGUAUUCAUUUGUAUGUCUAUGUGUGGGUUCAUACAAAUGAAUUUAGUGCACAGAGGCCAGAAGGAUGUGUCAGAUCCUCUGGGGGUGGAGUUAUAGGUGGUUGUGAGAAGCCCAAGUUGGACGCUGGCAACUGAACUCCAGUCCUUUCCAAAGAGCAGUAAGACUUCCUAACCCCUGAGCCAUUUCUCCAGUCCAGCACCUACAUCUGACUCCUGGACCCACAUAGGAGAAGGAAAGAAGUGAUUCUCCAAAUUAUCCUCUACCUUCACCAUGUGUGCUGUGGUACGCACACACACACACCAACCACACGUAAUUUUUAAAUAAACAGUUCUACAGCUAGGUGUGUUGGCUCUUGAAAUUGGGCAGGUAAGCAGGUGAGAGAACUGAAUAUGAUCAAAAUAUGCUGCAUGAAAUUCUCAAAAGAAUAAAAAUGUUACUU